GCACUGCCGAGGAGUCCCAUAGUGGGACGAAACGGCCGUCCAGUGC
rnacentral:hammerhead_ribozyme from 1 species